AUGAAAUAUAUCGCAGAUGAACUCAAGCCCCUAUGUGCUAAGGUCUCCAACAUUCUUGACUUGGAAUUGUCGGGCUCUGUCAUUGCCGAGCUACGGUUACUGGGUUCUAACCGUGGCAUUAGUAGUGUUAUCUCUACAAGUAGACCCAUAACCACCUCACAAGCUUUAGAGUCUACAUGGUAUGGGAGGGACUCCCAGAAGAACACCAUUGUCGAGCAUAUUACAAAGGGUGAACACAUUCAUAGAGAUCUCGCUGUCAUUCCUAUUGUUGGUUCUAGGGGCAUAGGAACGACAACUCUCGCUCAACACAUAUACAACAUCAAAGAAGUGCAAGGUCAUUUCGAAAUAAGACGUUGGGUGUGUGUAUCUAUCGACUUUAGUGUGUAUAGGUUGACAAAAGAGAUUGUGCGCUCCAUCCCUAAAGCACAAGGUGAACAAAACGAUAGAGCGGAUAAUGAGGUAGAAAACUUGGACCAACUUCAGCACUUAAUUGAAAAAAGGCUGAAAAAUAGAAGAUUUUUACUUGUUUUGGAUGAUAUAUGGAAAUAUGGUAAUGAAGAUGAGUGGAAAAGAUUUCUGGUUCCCUUUAAAAAACAACAAGGAAAUGGUGAUACAAUUCUAGUCACAACCCGAUUCCUUGAAGUAGCUACAAUGGCUAGGAGAGGGGAUAAACUCUUGGAACUAGAAGGUUUGGAGUGCGGAGAAUAUUGGAACCUUUUUCUAGCAUCUGUGUGUGAUAAAAUUGAUCAUGAUAUGGACUUAACAAAAAUCGGGGAAGAGAUUGUGAAAAAAUUGAAGGGUUCUCCCCUUGCAGCAAAAAUCGUGGGUAGAUUGUUGAGAAAAAGAUUAACUGUAGAUCAUUGGACAAAAGUUCUUAAAAGUAAAGAAUGGGAAUCACAAACCAGUGAUGAUGAUAUCAUGCCCGCGCUGAAGCUUAGCUAUGACUACCUCCCUUUUCACCUGCAACAAUGCUUUUCCUCUUGUGCAUUAUUUCCAGAAGAUUACAAGUUUGACUGUGAGGAGCUAAUUCACUUCUAGAUAGGACUUGGCAUUCUAUGCCCAGAUAAUAGAAUCAAAAGAACUGAAGAUAUAGGGCGUAACAACUUGAAUGACUUGGUUAAUUAUGGUUUUUAAAAAAAUGAAAGAGGUGAUUCAGGUACACACUAUGUUAUGCAUGAUCUGCUACAUGAUUUAGCAUUGAAGGUUUCCUAACAAGAAUGCCUACAUAUAGCCUUUUCUAGCCCAAGAGAUGUAGAAAUUGCACCAUCUGUCUAUCAUUUGUCCAUUAGUGUUAGUUAUUCAGCCGAUAGUAAGGAUGGAGUUGUUCAAGAAAAAUUUAGGAGCGAUUUGGGUAAAAUAAGGGAUAUUUUGAAUUUUGAGAACAUGCACACUUUGAUGUUGUUUGGUAAAUAUGAUGCAAGCUUUGUUCGUAUAUUUGGUGAUUUAUUCAAAGAUGCAAAAUCGUUGCGUGUUGUAUAUUUGUCAACAAUGUACUACCCUGUGGAGUCUCUAUUGUACAACAUCUCAAAACUUGUCCAUCUUCGCUACCUACGGGUUGCGUCAAAGCGUGGCACUCGAGAACAUUUACCAAGGAGUAUAUCAAGAUUUUAUCAGUUAAGGGUGCUAGACAUAAGUGGCUGGCAGGGUCCUCAUAGUUCGCCCGGGGAUAUUGCAAACCUUGUAAAAUUGCGCCAUUACCUUGUCCCACCUUGCGAAUUACAUUCGAAUAUUUGUAAUGUGGGAAAACUACAUAACUUACAAGAACUACAGAGUUUUGAAGUUCGAAGAGAAACUAGUGGCUUUGAACUAAGGGAGCUGGGGAAACUAGAAGAGCUAGGAGGAUCACUUGGCAUUUAUAAUCUUGAGAAUGCAUUAGCAAAUGAGGCACGUGAGGCAAAACUGUUAAACAAAAGCCGCUUGCAGAAAUUAACACUCAGUUGGAAAUCUAAUAAUUUGCCUGACGCACAAGGUCAUUUGCUUGAGCUACGGCCCCAUAGCAAUCUUUAUGAGCUAUGCAUUGAUGGUCAUGGAUGCCCUAGUUGCCCUACAUGGCUGGGUACAAAUCUGUCCACCAAAGGUCUGGAGGCUCUCCGCCUGGACAGUCUAGCUUGGGAACAGCUUCCACCCCUUGGAGAGCUAUAUCUGAAUCGUGAGUCCGGAGAAGAGUAUUUGGGUUGCAUCACAGGCGGCACAUGCUUUCGUAACUUGAACAGGCUAGAACUCAUUAUCUUGCCAAGAUUUAGUAGAUGGGCAGCAAAUGAAGUUUGCCCUUGGUACUUCUCACUUAUAGAAGUACUCGUUCUGAAGGGUCGCCCUGAACUAACUGAGUUACCGUUUUCAUCUUAUAUCUGCUGCCCACCGGAAAGAGAUUUGAAUGUGACCUGGUUUCCUAGGCUAGAAACAAUUGAAAUUGAGGAUUGCCCAAAACUCUUGUCUCUGCCUCCUAUUCCUUAUAGUCCCAUUUUGUGCUCUGUUAGACUGCAACUUGCAGGAAGAGGUCUGAAGUAUUUACAUUACUCACACGAAUCAAGCUGUUUGAGAAUAAAAGGAAGUGAUGCUCUGCAUAGCCUUGAUGAGACAGUCUUGGUGUUCCAUAAUUUAACCCAACUACAACGCUUGAUUAUUGAAAAUUGCCCACCUCUGGCUGAGAAACACCUUCAAAUGCUAACCUCGUUGAAGACCCUCCAAAUAGAAGAUUCAAACAUUACACCCCAGCUGUCAGCAAGAAGUGACACCAUUAUGUGACAACUUCCAGUUAACAGUUUAGCGAUAGCCAGUGGUUGGAGUGGCGGCUGGAAGGAACUGACACGUCUACUAACUCAUCUCCCUGUGCUCUCACGCUUGUUUAUAUUUGGAUGUGAGAAGAUAACAGGGUUGGGCGUGUUAGAAGUUAAUCUAGUCAAUCAGGAUACAUAUGGAACAGCAAAUCAACAACAACAACAACAAGAAGAAGAAGGUGACGACGGGCUGCUGCUCUUACCGGCCCAUCUCUCCUACUCUCACUGGGAGUUGACCAUCGGCGGUUGUCCAGAGCUUGUCCUGAGCCGCGGGACAGGAGGAGGAGGUCUGCAAUCCAUUGGCUCUCUCAAGGAAAUAGAAAUAUAUGGUUGCCCCAAGUUCAUGUCUGGCUACAAGGCCUCCUCGGAUCUCUUUUACUGUUGCCCUUUCCCGUCCUCCCUGCAGCGCCUUCAACUUGGAGGUCAUAUGGAGGGCAUGGACACGCUGGCUCCCCUCUUGAACCUCACCUCUCUCGAGAGCUUAUGCAUUUGGGGUUUGGCGGAUGAUUUUAGGUGCGACCGCCUGUUGCCUCUUCUUACUCAAGGUCAGCUAACCGCAUUAAGUGUCAGUGGCAGCCCAAAAUUCUUUGCUGGCAUUAAGGGUCCCGCUCCCGCACUGGUACAGGCAUCCAAACUGCAGCAACUCAAGACGGACGACAUCGCUAGAGUCCUUGCUGCACCCAUCUGCCACCUCCUGUCUUCCUCUCUCACCAAAUUAUACUUUUAUGAUGACAAAGGAGAGGUGGAGUGCUUGAGCAAGGAGUAA
rnacentral:rRNA from 1 species